rnacentral:rRNA from 1 species
AGAGCGAACGCUGGCGGCAGGCCUAACACAUGCAAGUCGAGCGCCCCGCAAGGGGAGCGGCAGACGGGAGAGUAACACGUGGGAACGUACCCUUUGGUUCGGAACAACACAGGGAAACUUGUACUAAUACCGGAUAAGCCCUUACGGGGAAAGAUUUAUCGCCAAAGGAUCGGCCCGCGUCUGAUUAGCUUGUUGGUGAGGUAACGGCUCACCAAGGCUACGAUCAGUAGCUGGUCUGAGAGGAUGAUCAGCCUCACUGGGACUGAGACACGGCCCAGACUCCUACGGGAGGCAGCAGUGGGGAAUAUUGGACAAUGAGCGCAAGCCUGAUCCAGCCAUGCCGCGUGGAUGAUGAAGGCCCUAGGGUUGUAAAGUCCUUUCGACGGGGAAGAUAAUGACGGUACCCGUAGAAGAAGCCCCGGCUAACUUCGUGCCAGCAGCCGC